CAAAGGGAUUACCGGUGGCGGAUGGGCAUGCGGCGCAUUAGCUAGUCGGCGGGGUAACGGCCCACCGAGGCGACGAUGCGUAGGGGUUCUGAGAGGAAGGUCCCCCACACUGGUACUGAGACACGGACCAGACUCCUACGGGAGGCAGCAGUGAGGAAUAUUGGUCAAUGGGCGCGAGCCUGAACCAGCCAAGUCGCGUGAGGGAUGACGGUCCUACGGAUUGUAAACCUCUUUUGCCGGGGAGCAAGCGUGCGUUCGUGAACGCGCGUCGAGAGUACCCGGAGAAAAAGCAUCGGCUAACUCCGUGCCAGCAGCCGCGGUAAUACGGAGGAUGCGAGCGUUAUCCGGAUUUAUUGGGUUUAAAGGGUGCGUAGGCGGGAUGCCAAGUCAGCGGUAAAAGUGCGGUGCUCAACGCCGUCGAGCCGUUGAAACUGGCGUUCUUGAGUGGGCGAGAAGUAUGCGGAAUGCGUGGUGUAGCGGUGAAAUGCAUAGAUAUCACGCAGAACUCCGAUUGCGAAGGCAGCAUACCGGCGCCCUACUGACGCUGAGGCACGAAAGCGUGGGUAUCGAACAGGAUUAGAUACCCUGGUAGUCCACGCAGUAAACGAUGAAUGCUAACUGUCCGGCUCGAAUGAGCGCUGG
rnacentral:rRNA from 1 species